AUACGGAGGAUGCAAGCGUUAUCCGGAUUUAUUGGGUUUAAAGGGUGCGUAGGAGGAUGAUUAAGCGUGAGGUGAAAUGCCACUGCUCAACAGUGGAACUGCCUCGCGAACUGGUUGUCUUGAAUGCUCCUGCCGUGGGAGGAAUGUGUGGUGUAGCGGUGAAAUGCAUAGAGAUCACAUAGAACACCGAUUGCGAAGGCAUCUCACGAAGGGGUGAUUGACGCUGAGGCACGAAAGCGUGGGGAUCAAACAGGAUUAGAUACCCUGGUAGUCCACGCAGUAAACGGUGAUAACUAACCGCUGGGUCGUAGUGAUUCAGUGGCCAAGCGAAAGCGAUAAGUUAUCCACCUGGGGAGUACGGCCGCAAGGUUGAAACUCAAAGGAAUUGGCGGGG
rnacentral:rRNA from 1 species